rnacentral:rRNA from 1 species
AACGAACGCUGGCGGCAGGCUUAACACAUGCAAGUCGAACGCCCCGCAAGGGGAGUGGCAGACAGGUGAGUAACGCGUGGGAAUCUACCUAGUUCUACGGAACAACAGUUGGAAACGACUGCUAAUACCGUAUACGCCCUAUGGGGGAAAGAUUUAUCGGAAUUAGAUGAGCCCGCGUAAGAUUAGCUAGUUGGUGAGGUAAUGGCUCACCAAGGCGACGAUCUUUAGCUGGUCUGAGAGGAUGAUCAGCCACACUGGGACUGAGACACGGCCCAGACUCCUACGGGAGGCAGCAGUGGGGAAUAUUGGACAAUGGGCGCAAGCCUGAUCCAGCCAUGCCGCGUGAGUGAUGAAGGCCUUAGGGUUGUAAAGCUCUUUCAGUAGGGAAGAUAAUGACGGUACCUACAGAAGAAGCCCCGGCUAACUUCGUGCCAGCCGCCGCGGUAAGAC